CAUCCAAUAAUAAUCUUCUCUCUUUCUCGGUCACACACUCUCUCUCUCUCCUCAAAGCCUUCGUUAUGUCUAAAGCUAGAAAUCGAUUCAACUGCUUACUCAAAUCAGUGGUUUCUCGAAUCGGAGAUUAAAGAUGAAGUAGAAGAAAAAUUCAAUCAGUGGUUGACUGCAACGACAAUACCAAUUGAUGGGUGAUCUCACGCCGGCUCAAACGCUUGAUUUACUCUGUUCCAAGAACACUUCAUGGUAUAUUCAUAUAAGUUUUGA